GGGUCAGUAGGUUGGUCGUGCCACCGGUACGUACUGGUCUCACUGAUUCCUCCUUCCUGAAGAACCGUAAUGCCAUUAAUUUGGUGUUGUGGGGAAACAGGACUGUUACUUUGAAAAAAUUAGAGUGUUUAAAGCAAGCUAGCGCUUGAAUACAUUAGCAUGGAAUAAUGAAAUAGGACGAUCGAUCCUAUUUUGUUGGUUUCUAGGAUUGACGUA
rnacentral:rRNA from 1 species